rnacentral:rRNA from 1 species
UCAGGCCUAACACAUGCAAGUCGAACGAAGUAGCAAUACUUAGUGGCAGACGGGUGAGUAACAUGUGGGUAUCUACCCUUUGGCCUGGAAUAACACGAGGAAACUUGUGCUAAUACCGGAUAAGUCUUUACGGAGAAAGCUUUAUGCACCAUUGGAUGAGCCUGCACUUGAUUAGUUUGUUGGUGGGGUAAUGGCCUACCAAGACUGUGAUCAAUAGCUGAUUUGAGAGGAUGAUCAGCCACAUUGGGACUGAGACACGGCCCAAACUCCUACGGGAGGCAGCAGUGGGGAAUCUUGCACAAUGGAGGAAACUCUGAUGCAGCGAUGCCGCGUGAGUGAAGAAGGCCCUUGGGUUGUAAAGCUCUUUCGUCGGGGAAGAAAAUGACUGUACCCGAAUAAGGAGGUCCGGCUAACUUCGUGCCAGCAGCCGCGGUAAUACGGAGGGACCUAGCGUAGUUCGGAAUUACUGGGCUUAAAGAGUUCGUAGGUGGUUGAAAAAGUUAGUGGUGAAAUCCCAGAGCUUAACUCUGGAACUGCCAUUAAAACUUUUCAGCUAGAGUAUGAUAGAGGAAAGCAGAAUUUCUAGUGUAGAGGUGAAAUUCGUAGAUAUUAGAAAGAAUACCAAUUGCGAAGGCAGCUUUCUGGAUCAUUACUGACACUGAGGAACGAAAGCAUGGGUAGCGAAGAGGAUUAGAUACCC